rnacentral:lncRNA from 1 species
AUCAUCAUAACAGAGUCUAUUGAAAGUCCUCAGCAGGCGGUGUGACGAUGUGACCAGCUCUGGCCAAGGAGCUGUAGGCAGAAGUGUCUUGCAGCAGCUCCUGUAAAUCUUAAAAGACAGCUGGUGCGUGUCUUUUUUCCUUUUUUUUUCCCUUCCCCCUUCCUGCUGCGCUGAAUAUGGAUAUGGUGAGUGAAUCUAGAGCAGCCAUUUGGAGGUAUGAAGAGAUCUUGGAAAUAGAGGCCAUGUGUGUUGAAACAAGACCGAACAACUCCAAGUUCCUGAAGACUUCAUUUCACCAACCCAGAACCUCCUUGAUCAUCACAGUGGUCGAACCAUUUUACAUUUUCACCAGCAAUGAAGGAGGGUUCCUGUUGCUCUACCAUUUGGUACUGUCAGCGUUUUGGAUAUUAGCCGUCCUAAUAGCCUUUGCAUGGAUGAUUGUCUGUCCUCUGUUGGGCCCCUUCUGAAGAGUUGGAGUUGGACUCUGAAUACCUCAAGAGUGGGAGAUUGGUCUUGCCAAUCAGAGAAGCUCCAGGGCUAGCCUAGUGCCUGGCACAUGCUUUAUACAAUUAUUCCCAAAUCUUCUAAACUGACAGUGAGGGAGAGUAAUUUGAAAGGACUGCUCAACUCAACGUCAUUUGAAGAUUUGCACCACAGCUGCAUUUUUCCAAUUUCCUGGCAUCUAUUCUGCUCUCCUGGACUUUUCAAAAACAAUUGUAAGUGGAUGAAUAAAUAUAAUAACUGA